rnacentral:rRNA from 1 species
UACGGAGGGGACUAGCGUUGUUCGGAAUUACUGGGCGUAAAGCGCACGUAGGCGGAUUUGUAAGUCAGGGGUGAAAUCCCGGGGGCUCAACCUCGGAACUGCCUUCGAUACUGGCGAUCUUGAGUCCGGAAGAGGUGAGUGGAACUCCUAGUGUAGAGGUGGAAUUCGUAGAUAUUAGGAAGAACACCAGUGGCGAAGGCGGCUCACUGGUCCGGUACUGACGCUGAGGUGCGAAAAGCGUGGGGGAGCAAACAGG